rnacentral:rRNA from 2 species
GAUGCUACCUGGUUGAUCCUGCCAAUAAUCAUAUGCU